rnacentral:tRNA from 1 species
GUUCGUAUAGUGUUUUAGCAUGUAAAAUUUUCGCGUUUAAGGUAUCUAUAUAGAUUACGAAUA